rnacentral:rRNA from 1 species
GAUUACCCCUGUACCUUUGCAUAAUGAAUUAACUAGUAUAAGACUUAACAAAAUGAAUUUUAGCUAAGCAGCCCGAAACCAGACGAGCUACUCACAAACAGUUUACCAAGAACUAACUCAUCUAUGUGGCAAAAUAGUGAGAAGAUUUGUAAGUAGAGGUGACAUGCCUAACGAGCCUGGUGAUAGCUGGUUGUCCAGAAAAUGAAUCUAAGUUCAGCUUUAAAGAUACCAAAAAUUCAAAUAAACCCCACUGUAGCUUUAAAAGUUAGUCUAAAAAGGUACAGCCUUUUAGAAACGGAUACAACCUUGACUAGAGAGUAAAAUUUAACACUACCAUAGUAGGCCUAAAAGCAG